GUUCAUUAGAUUUUUUUUAGCGAUUAUCAAAGGGAUGUAGGUUAAAGGGGACGACGCACAGAGAUAGAAGGAAAUGGACAAUGCUAUCUUAUUGAUCGUAAGAAGUAGGAUAAGAAAGAACAUAGUUUAAGCUGCAGCGGCUUCAUAUUUACCGAAAGAAUAUAAAGUCAAGAGAACUCGGAAGGGAGGCCAUUUUAAGGUCUGACAAGGAUACAAUAAAAGAGUAAUUAUAAUGCAGGUUUGCCGAGUCCAGUGGAAGAACUCAAAAACUCUCUCAGUGUUGGCUCUCGUACUACUUUUAGCUAUAGUGACAUGUUCAAACUACAUCACGUCUCCUGAGUUUUGGAAAAAGAGAACCAUGUCCCCGCAAUUUUAGUGUUUGUGUAAUGGUUCCCCUCAAGCAAACCCA